UGUGCUGCGGCUUAGUUGGUUAAAAUGCCGGACUAGUGAUACGGAUUCGUGGGUUCGAGUCCCACCAAAACAA
rnacentral:tRNA from 1 species